AGUGAACGCUGGCGGUAGGCCUAACACAUGCAAGUCGAACGGCAGCACAGUAAGAGCUUGCUCUUACGGGUGGCGAGUGGCGGACGGGUGAGGAAUACAUCGGAAUCUACUUUUUCGUGGGGGAUAACGUAGGGAAACUUACGCUAAUACCGCAUACGACCUACGGGUGAAAGCAGGGGAUCUUCGGACCUUGCGCGAUUGAAUGAGCCGAUGUCGGAUUAGCUAGUUGGCGGGGUAAAGGCCCACCAAGGCGACGAUCCGUAGCUGGUCUGAGAGGAUGAUCAGCCACACUGGAACUGAGACACGGUCCAGACUCCUACGGGAGGCAGCAGUGGGGAAUAUUGGACAAUGGGCGCAAGCCUGAUCCAGCCAUACCGCGUGGGUGAAGAAGGACUUCGGGUUGUAAAGCCCUUUUGUUGGGAAAGAAAAGAAGCAGGUUAAUACCCCGCUGUUCUGACGGUACCCAAAGAAUAAGCACCGGCUAACUUCGUG
rnacentral:rRNA from 1 species